ensembl:lncRNA
CACGAGAGAGUUGUGCCAUGCUGUGCAGGACUACUACUGGCUCGUUAGUGAGGAGCCCCGAGGGGCGGAGAUCAGGACAUUUAGACACAGUGCUGAACGCGCAACGCGUCUGGGAUGAACGUCUGAGAAAGCUUUGGCCUUUCAAGCCAUCAGGGAACUUGGCACGCUACACGAUAGCUAAGUAACAAGCUGCCCGGCAUUCCUGUGUUAGCCCCUGAUUUCACGUUCCGGAUCCCGACACCUGCUGUGCUGAGCCGGGAACAUUUGGGUUUACGGGAACCUCAUCGGGUUCUGGUAGCCGCUCCCUCGGGAGCCUCCGCGUGGAUCACACUUCAUUAGGCCACAGUCCAGCAACGUUUCCUGUUCACCGCGGAUCUCCAGCCUCUGAGUCUCACAGUAGCAGACCGGGUUUCAUUACAGAGCUUUAGUUCUGUCGCCGGACAUUGUGAAUAUCCAUCGGGACAUCAGAGUGGGCGCUUUCUCUGAGCUGUGGUUGAUUAUGUGGUCGAUUCACUGCCUCUGAACUCUUAUCCUGUUACUUGAAUGUUCAAUAUGUUCCAAUUUUUUACCAGUCAAUUCAAAACCUUGCUUGAGAGGUUUGGAUUUUUGAUUUAAAGCCUCAGGAUUAUUUGCAAUAACUUUUGAGUUCCCUUAGCAUUUCUUCUAAACAUCACAUUUUUAUUUGUCUAAUACUUUUAUUGAUAAACAAAAAUUGAUUUAAAAAAAAAUGUACAUGCAGGCACACGUCCAAACUUUUUUGCUAAACAAAGUAGCCUCACCUGGAGGGUUGGAGCGAGCCAGCAUGCACGAGCCAUGCUGUAUUAUGGGAAAACGGCAGGUGCUCAUAAAUACUGGUUGCACGGUGCAGGCGGCUCGUGUUAUGUUUACCAAUCACAAGUUGUGUGUGUGUGUGUGUGUGUGUUUAAUAUAUCAUCAUAUAUCGUAUCAGAUGUCAUGCUGCGAUUUGCUGGGAAGCUGCUCUGAGAACGACUUGACCGAUUCGCUUUACCCUCCCAUAUCCAUUCCCCCUCCUCCCUUCUCACCCCUCCCAAUCUCUCUCCUUCAUCAUGCCUCCUCCUCCUCCUCCUCUCUGUCUUUUAUAAUCUUCUCUGCUCUUUUAUGCGGCUCGGUCCAGUAGUGUUGUUGGUCGGGUCACAGUCCGCUGCCUCUCUCUCCAUGGCGACCUCUGGGAGCAAUAAAUGGAUGUCUGUCUCCCUAAAUGUGUAAACUCACCUCACAAUCUUUCCCUGAUGCUGCCAUUUUGGAUUUAACAGAAAACACGAGCUUGUCAUCAGUGGCAUCUUGAUGACAUAAGAGCUGGUGCUAAAUGCACCAAAGGUCACACCUCACAAGCUGAACACGUUUUUGUCCACACGCACAGUGGUAACAACUCUUAUGAAGAAAUGCACAGGCAUAAUCAACAUUAGCAAAGCAUUUGAUUAAUUCUUGUGCAUUGACGUGAAUGUAGUAAACAUGAUCUGAGAUGGAUCUACGCUCUUCCCAAAUGAAAUAAACAAAGCAAUGGAGCAAAAAUAGCACCGCUUAUUUGUGGCCCUGAACACGUCAUUCAUCCGUGUACAUGCACAUGGUCUCACUGCAU